GCCCGCCCCAGGAAGAGCGCUCCCGCGAACUGCGGCGGUGGUGGCUGGGCCACCAGAGGGAAGCGGGUGUGGCCCAGGCAGCGGGGGCUGGGACAGACCUGGAAAGGAGGAAGCGGGGAAGGAAGGUUGUCCUGUCGGGCUGGGGGCUCCCGGGAAUCCGGAGGCCAGCAGUGGAACCGCAAGGCUCUACAGGGCAGAUCUGCCUCCCGUGCUGUCUCAGCUACGCCGAGUCGUUGGCUCAGGGCGGAGGAUUUUCCUAUUGGCCGCGUUAUUUGAAUGGAAUGGAGGAUAGGUCGUGAAGUAGGUGCUGCUGGUUGAUCUUUCUAAGGAACUCAGAUGAACUUGGGCAUGUCAGAAUUAAUAACCUUUUAAAAGUGGGGUCUGUGUGGCCGAGGGUUUUAAUGUCCUACCCAGGGAGUUGACCAGAACCAACAUGGAACCACCCUAACUUGCUUCAGACUCCAUUGCUAGAUCAAUCCUGAUUUCUAGAUCAUAGCAUCUAAUCUUUGCCUUGCCUCUGGAUUACAAGGGUGGAACCAAGCAGAGGGGUUCACCCAAGCCAUCUUUGGGUGCUUCCAUGGGAAAGAAGGAUUUCACUGAGAAUAAUAAGUGACACCAAGGCUCAAAAGAAUGAGAGAGAAGUCUGUUGGUCUCUUGAACAGCAGGGAUUUGCUCACAGAUCUCUGGAAGUAGCCAGAAUGUGACAGGAUCUCAAAAUGAAUGGCUGCUUCAUGGAGGCUGGAACAUAAGCCUGGGACUCCCAGUAGCCAAACAUAGCUGUGCCACAAACAUGGCUGAAAUGUAGCAGUUUGGUGGAUCCGAGGUCAGUCAUUGAAAAUGUAUUGAUUGGCACCUAUUCUUUGUGAAUCAUUAUUCUGGGUUCUGGGGUCACAGGAGCAAAUGAAACAAAUGAAGUACCUGCCAUCAAUGAGCUUACAUUCUAGUAAAGAGGGACAGAAAAUGAAUACAUUUUAAAUGAAUAAAUUCAGAUACCGCUAAAUGUAGUGAAGAAAAAAAUUGGGCUAAAGAGAGCGAAAAACAAUUUCUGAAGUUACUAGCAGUGAAGGGUGGGGGAAGAGAAGAGACGGAUUUAACCAGGAAAGAUCUGAGCUGAGGGUGUAUCCAGGUUUUCUGGAACCUGAUAUUAUUACAGUUUAGAGAUUCUUCUUCAAGAAAAAGAAUUUAAAAUUACAAAUAAUUAACUUCAGGGCCUUGGAAGGGGUCCACUCAAGUGAACAGAAAAUUAUGUGCUCCUUAUAAAAUAUAUGAUUUAAAACUACAACAGUGGCUGGCCGUGGUGGCUCAUGCCUGUAAUCCCAGCACUUUGGGAGGCUGAGGCAGGUGGAUCGCGAAGUAAAGAGAUCGAGACCAACCUGGCCAACAAUGGUGAAACCCCGUCUCUACUAAAAAUACAAAAAUUAGCUGGGCGUGGUGGCAUGUGCCUGGUGUCCCAGCUACUUGGGAGGCAGAGGCAGGAGAAUCGCUUGAACCUGGGAGGUGGAGGUUGCAGUGAGCCGAGAUUGUGCCACUGCACUCCAGCCUGGCGACAGAGUGAGACGUCUCAAAAAAAAAAAAAAAAAAAAACUAUAACAGUAAUUGAGUGUAUAAACACUCAAUUUGUUUCCUCAGCUAGAUCUAGAACCAAGGAUUCUAGAAAAUAUGUGUCAAAACCCAGCUCUCAGUUUUGUUAGCUAUCACUUAACAUCAGUUUAAAUCAUUCAUUUAUUCACCAUUCAUUAAGCCGGUAUUUAUGAGUACCCUAUUGGUACUCUGUAUGUACUAGUGCUAAAACUAUAACAAUGUAAACACUCAUUCCCUGCAAUCAACAAUAUAUACUGGCCAAAGAUUCAAUUCCAUGAUCAAGCAUAGCAGCAUUAAUAGUAGAGCAACCUCCAUUAUGUGCCUAAGCAUUACCUAAAUUUUAGCCUGAGUUUAACCAGGUGUUUUAGAUCAAAUAUCACUUUACUAGAAACAUGGGAGAUAGAAGAACAUAUUAAAUGAUACCACACAUACUUAAUCAAACAAACCUGAAAUGUAGGAUAAUCUCUAGGGCACUGGCCUGGUUUCUUUUAAAAAGUCAGUGUUAUAAAAAAUUUUAAAUAAAAAUGUUCUAGAUUAAAAGAUACUGAAAAUCAUAAUGACUAAUUAAGCUUGUAAACUUUGAUUAAGUUCCGGUUUGGAAAAAAGUUGUAUGUAAUUGAUUAUUGGAAAAAUUGAAUAUGGAUUGUGUUUUAGAUGAUAUUAAGGAAUUUUUGUUAUUUCUGUUCUAAGAUGUAAUAAUGUGAUUAUGUAGGAAUGUAUCCUUAAUUUAAGGAGAUGAGUAUGUUAAAUAUGAUGUUGCAACUUCCUUUCAAAUGAUUUCAUGAAAUAAAAAAUAAAUACAUACAAAUGCAUGUAAGUAGACAGUGCAAGUUUGGCAAGAUUUUAAUUUCUGAACUUAGGUAACAGGUAUCCAAGUGUCUGUUACUAUUUUUUCAGCUUUGCUGUUUGAUAUUUUUUACAAUGAAAUAUUGAGGGAGAAAAAGAAUGGAUUGUGGGGAGACUGUGUUGUGAUUCUCUAAUAGAGUCAAUGCCAUUACUCCAGAGAUAUUUGGACAUGUGGGUGAGGUGUUUUUGAUUAUCAAAAUGAUUGUGGAACACUACUGUCGUUUAGUGAGGAAGUGAGUAAUAAAUAACUUGUGAUGUGUGGGAAUUUUCCAAACAACAACUAAGUACCCUUCCCAAAAUGCUAAUAACUCCCCUGUUGAGAAAUACUAAAAUUAAACCAAUAAAUAGCUCACACAAAAAAUAUUCCAUUGACCUUAUAUACAACUCUAAUGUUUGUUCUCCAAUUCACAAAAAAGUACUCCUGAUAAAGAGUCAUUUAUAUUCAUGGCUUCCAUAUCCAUGUUUUCUUUCUUUUUUUUUAUUAUACUUUUAAGUUCUAGGGUACACGUGCACAACGUGCAGGUUUGUUACAUAGGUAUACAUGUGCCAUGUUGGUUUGCUGCACCCAUCAACUCAGCAUUUACAUUAGGUAUUUCUCCUAAUGCUAUCCCUCCCCCAGUCCCCCAACCCCCAACAGGCCCCAGUGUGUGAUGUUCCCUGCCCUGUGUCCAAGUGUUCUUAUUGUUCAAUUCCCACCUAUGAGUGAGAACAUGUGGUGUUUGGUUUUCUGUCCUUGUGAUAGUUUGCUGAGAAUGAUGGUUUCCAGCUUCAUCCAUGUCCCUGCAUCCUUUUUUAUGGCUGCAUAGUAUUCCAUGGUGUAUAUAUGCCACAUUUUCUUAAUCCAGUCUAUCACUGAUGGACAUUUGGGUUGGUUCUAAGUCUUUGCUAUUGUGAAUAGUGCCACAAUAAACAUACGUGUGCAUGUGUCUUUAUAGUAGCAUGAUUUAUAAUCCUUUGGGUGUAUACCCAGUAAUGGGAUCGCUGGGUCAAAUGCUAUUUCUAGUUCUAGAUCCUUGAGGAAUCACCACACUGUCUUCCGCAAUGGCUGAACUAAUUUACACUCCCACCAACAGUGUAAAAGCGUUCCUAUUCUCCACAUCCUCUGCAGCAUCUGUUGUUUCCUGACUUUUUUUUUUUUUUUUUUUUUGAGAUGGAGUCUUACUCUGUCGCCCAGGCUGGAGUGCAAUGGCACCAUCUCCGGUCACUGCAGACUCCACCUCCCGGGUUCACGUCAUUCUCCUGCCUCAGCCUCCCAAGUAGCUGGGACUACAGGCACCGGGCACCACGCCUGGCUAAUUUUUUUUUUUUUUUCGUAUUUUUAGUAUAGGCGGGGUUUCACCGUGUUAGCCAGGAUGGUCUUGAUCUCCUGACCUCGUGAUCCGCCUGCCUUGGCCUCCCAAAGUGCUGGGAUUACAGGCAUGAGCCACCGCGCCCGGCCUGUUUCCUGACUUUUUAAUGAUGACCAUUCUAACUGGCGUAAGAUGGUAUCUCACUGUGGUCAUGAUUUGCAUUUCUCUAAUGACCAGUGAUGAUAAGCAUUUUUUCAUGUGUCUGUUGGCUGCAUGAAUGUCUUCUUUUGAGAAGUGUAUGUUCAUAUCCUUUGCCCACUUUUUGAUGGGGUUGUUUUUUUCUUGUAAAUUUGUUUAAGUUCUUUGUAGAUUCUGGAUAUUAGCCCUUUGUCAGAUGAGUAGAUUGCAAAAAUUUUCUCCCAUUCUGUAGGUUGUCUGUUCACUCUGAUGGCAGUUUCUUUUGCUGGGCAGAAGCUCUUUAGUUUAAUUAGAUCCCAUUUGUCUAUUUUUGCUUUUGUUGCC
rnacentral:lncRNA from 1 species